GGGAUUGUAGUUCAGUUGGCAGAGUGUUUGCCUAGCAUGCAUGAAGCUCUGGGUUCAGACCCUAGCCCCA
rnacentral:tRNA from 1 species